rnacentral:rRNA from 1 species
AACGAACGCUGGCGGCAGGCUUAACACAUGCAAGUCGAACGCAUCCUUCGGGGUGAGUGGCAGACGGGUGAGUAACGCGUGGGAACGUGCCCUUCAGUUCGGGAUAACCCAGGGAAACCUGGGCUAAUACCGGAUACGUGCGAGAGCAGAAAGAUUUAUCGCUGAAGGAUCGGCCCGCGUCUGAUUAGCUAGUUGGGGGGGUAAUGGCCCACCAAGGGGACGAUAAGUAGCUGGUCUGAGAGGAUGAUCAGCCACAUUGGGACUGAGACACGGCCCAUACUCCUACGGGAGGCAGCAGUGGGGAAUAUUGGACAAUGGGCGCAAGCCUGAUCCAGCCAUGCCGCGUGAGUGAUGAAGGCCUUAGGGUUGUAAAGCUCUUUCGUCCGGGACGAUAAUGACGGUACCGGAAGAAGAAGCCCCGGCUAACUUCGUGCCAGCCGCCGCGGUAA